rnacentral:rRNA from 1 species
GUAACGAAUCUUCCGCAAUGCGCGAAAGCGUGACGGGGCAAUGCCGCGUGCAGGAUGAAGCCCUUCGGGGUGUAAACUGCUGUCAGGGUUCAGGAAACAAAUGACCAGACCCAAAGGAAGAGGCGGCUAACUCUGUGCCAGCAGCCGCGGUAAUACAGAGGCCUCGAGCGUUAAUCGGAAUCACUGGGCUUAAAGCGUGCGUAGGCGGACGUGCAAGCAUGUUGUGAAAUCCCAUGGCUCAACCAUGGAACUGCUUCGUGAACUGCAUGUCUUGAGGCGAGUAGGGGCGGCCGGAACGAUAGGUGGAGCGGUGAAAUGCGUAGAUAUCUAUCGGAACGCCAAAGGAGAAGUCAGGCCGCUGGGCUCGUUCUGACGCUGAGGCACGAAAGCGUGGGGAGCAAACGGGAUUAGAUACCCGAGUAGUCC